rnacentral:rRNA from 1 species
GGUAUAUGCGCGGGCUGGACCUCUCGGGGUUACAGCCUUGCUGAAUUAUUCACCCUUGUCUUUUGCGUACUUCUUGUUUCCUUGGUGGGUUCGCCCACCACUAGGACAAACAUAAACCUUUUGUAAUUGCAAUCAGCGUCAGUAACAAAUUAAUAAUUACAACUUUCAACAACGGAUCUCUUGGUUCUGGCAUCGAUGAAGAACGCAGCGAAAUGCGAUAAGUAGUGUGAAUUGCAGAAUUCAGUGAAUCAUCGAAUCUUUGAACGCACAUUGCGCCCUUUGGUAUUCCAAAGGGCAUGCCUGUUCGAGCGUCAUUUGUACCCUCAAGCUUUGCUUGGUGUUGGGCGUCUUGUCUCUAGCUUUGCUGGAGACUCGCCUUAAAGUAAUUGGCAGCCGGCCUACUGGUUUCGGAGCGCAGCACAAGUCGCACUCUCUAUCAGCAAAGGUCUAGCAUCCAUUAAGCCUUUUUUUCAACUUUUGACCUCGGAUCAGGUAGGGAUACCCGCUGAACUUAAGCAUAUCAAACCGGGGGGAGGAACC